CGGGUUUAGUGCUCAAGCUCCCAACCGUGUGUGUGAUGCCCAGCUGGAUGGCACCUUUCAAGGCUGACGACGUUGUCUUCUUGUAGGUGGUCUCACCCGUGGAAUCCACUCCUCUGUGCCCUUUCUUUAUCGUCUGGGAGCCCGGCUGCCCUGAAGAACCCGGCAUCUCUGGGGUGAGCGACUUCUUGAAGGCAGACGGCCCCCCGAGACCGCCGCUGCUGCCGCUGCUGCCCCCCGACUCGGGCCCCGCCGCCGCCAUCUUGCCGCCUC
rnacentral:lncRNA from 1 species